rnacentral:rRNA from 1 species
AACAAACGCUGGCGGCAGGCUUAACACAUGCAAGUCGAACGCACUCUUCGGAGUGAGUGGCAGACGGGUGAGUAACGCGUGGGAAUCUACCCAGUCCUUCGGAAUAGCUCCUGGAAACGGGAAUUAAUACCGGAUACGCCCUUUUGGGGAAAGAUUUAUCGGGAUUGGAUGAGCCCGCGUAAGAUUAGCUAGUUGGUGGGGUAAUGGCCUACCAAGGCGACGAUCUUUAGCUGGUCUGAGAGGAUGAUCAGCCACACUGGGACUGAGACACGGCCCAGACUCCUACGGGAGGCAGCAGUGGGGAAUAUUGGACAAUGGGCGCAAGCCUGAUCCAGCCAUGCCGCGUGAGUGAUGAAGGCCUUAGGGUUGUAAAGCUCUUUCACCGGUGAAGAUAAUGACGGUAACCGGAGAAGAAGCCCCGGCUAACUUCGUGCCAGCAGCCGCAGUAA